AAGAAAGCAUAACGAACAUAGAAGUAGAGCAGGAUUAAAGUCUUUUUGAUUCUUUGCUUUCCAUUUCUCCUUCCUACCUUCUUCCUUAUUUUGUUUUGA
rnacentral:ribozyme from 1 species